rnacentral:lncRNA from 1 species
GUAGAUUCAUCCAAAGCCAGACUGGCAACAACAACAAAGUCGGUACCCGCUUGUGCACUCUACCAUGUACCCAACUGGAUACGCUUCUGCACACACAUGCUCUGAGCUUUCAAGUACUCAGCCUGUACAGUUUGAUGCUCAGUGCUUGAGCAGGUUUGAGUACUCGAGAUGAGAGUCUGUGUAUAUGUAAGUUUUGUUUGUCACUCUUGGUACAUGGAACUAGCAACCGGUACAUGCCUGUCAUAACCAGAAACCUCCUCGUUUUCAGAUUCAAUUUUGCAGCCUGCAGUACUUACAGCGACGAUCGCUUGAAAACCUGCAACGCAAUUGAUUCCAGAAUGAACACUUGGCUAACCGGUCGGGUUUAACUGAGAUUGCCAGAUAUUGAUAUUGUCUGCCCUAAUAAAUGCUUCUCUCGAUUCCCCUGUGUUUUCUGAGGGUAAGGACUCACUAGCUCGUGCCUGAACUUGGCCUCCCGAAGAGCCAAGGCCGCUUUCCAGUGAAGAUAAUGUCACAAUUUUCUGCGCAGCAGACUAAGUGAUGUUUGAGUAAUCACAUAAAAUCUCUCGCUUAGAGAAUGUUCACGAGAAUGGGAUUUCUUGGGGAAAUCUUUGCUCAC